rnacentral:rRNA from 1 species
GAUUAACGCUGGCGGCGUGCAUAACACAUGCAAGUCGAACGAUGAAACUUAAAUGAUUUUUUCGGAAUGAACUUAAGUGGAUUAGUGGCGGACGGGUGAGUAACUCGUGAGUAACCUGCCUUACACAAGGGGAUAGCCGUUGGAAACGACGAAUAAUACCCUAUGAAACUAUCACUUCGCAUGAAGCGAUAGUCAAAGUGGUAGGGGUGUAAGAUGGACUUGCGUCUGAUUAGCUAGUUGGUGAGAAAAAAGCCCGCCAAGGCAACGAUCAGUAGCCGGCUUGAGAGAGUGUACGGCCACAUUGGGACUGAGACACGGCCCAGACUCCUACGGGAGGCAGCAGUGGGGAAGUUUGAACAAUGGGGGAAACCCUGAUGCAGCGACGCCGCGUGAUUUAGAAGGCCUUCAGGUUGUAAAAAGCUUUUGUAUAGGAAGAAAAUGACAGUACUAUACGAAUAAGGUCCGGCUAAUUACGUG